UGAAUACGAGACGCUACGGCGUCGAAGCAGUCUAUGUCAUACUUCCAAGAAAAGCUUGCACUGUCAUAAACAAAUAAUGCCUGUACCAUAACCGACACAGGUGGGUAGGUAGAGUAUACUAAGGGGCGCGAGAUAACUCUCUCUAAGGAACUCGGCAAAAUGACUCCGUAACUUCGGGAGAAGGAGUGCCUUAAGAAAUUAAGGUUGCAAUAACAAGAUCCAAGCAACUGUUUAUCAAAAACACAGGUCUCCGCUAAGUCGUAAGACGAUGUAUGGGGGCUGACGCCUGCCCAGUGCCAGAAGGUUAAAGAAGUCGGUUAGCAUUAGCGAAGCUGGUAACUGAAGCCCUGGUGAACGGCGGCCGUAACAAUAACGGUCCUAAGGUAGCGAAAUUCCUUGUCGGGUAAGUUCCGACCCGCACGAAAGGCGUAAUGAUUUGGAUUCUGUCUCGGAGAGGGACUCGGUGAAAUAGACUUGUCUGUGAAGAUGCGGACUACCUGCACCAGGACAGAAAGACCCUAUGAAGCUUUACUGUAACUUGAAAUUGAAAUUGGACUUUACUUGCGCAGUAUAGGUGGGAGGCGUUGAGAAUAUUCUUGCGGGAAUAUUGGAGCCAUCAGUGAGAUACCACUCUUGUAAUGUUAGAUUUCUAACUUUGUAUCAUUAUCUGGUCAAAGAACAGUUUCAGGCGGGCAGUUUGACUGGGGCGGUCGCCUCCUAAACGGUAACGGAGGCGCACAAAGGUUUCCUCUGAACGGGUAGAAAUCGUAUCUAGAGUGUAAAGGCAUAAGGAAGCUUGACUGUGAGACCUACAAGUCGAGCAGGGACGAAAGUCGGUCUUAGUGAUCUGACGGUGCUGAGUGGAAAGGCCGUCACUCAACGGAUAAAAGUUACUCUAGGAUAACAGGCUGAUCUCCCCCAAGAGUUCACAUCGACGGGGAGGUUUGGCACCUCGAUGUCGGCUCAUCGCAUCCUGGGGCGGUAGUACGUCCCAAGGGUUGGGCUGUUCGCCCAUGAAAGCGGUACGCGAGCUGGGUUCAGAACGUCGUGAGACAGUUCGGUCCAUAUCCGGUGUAGGCGUUAGAAUAUUGAGAGGAGCCUUCUUUAGUACGAGAGGACCGAGAAGGACAUACCUCUGGUGUACCAGUUAUCGUGCCAACGGUAAACGCUGGGUAGCCAUGUAUGGAGAGGAUAACCGCUGAAAGCAUCUAAGUGGGAAGCCCACCUCAAGAUAAGUAUUGU
rnacentral:rRNA from 1 species